rnacentral:lncRNA from 1 species
AGCUGGGGAGCUACCACAACAGACGGAAGAACCAGAUCCAAUGAUAUGUGUAAGAAGAAUAAUUUCAGUGCAAUUGAAAGAACAGAUGCACAAUUGACUCUGUCAAGUGAUGGAAUGACCCGUCUCAAAUAAAGCCAAUGAGAGUUGCUCUUCAAGCUGAAACUUCAGCCCAAAUCAACUUUUACUCUCAUAAUGAUGAAAAGGAAACUGGCAGCUGCUUGGGGCAUAACAACCAACACAUCCUUUGAUCUGAUCUUUUUCUGCAUCCUCACUUCUUUAUGACUCCUCCAUUACUUAGAGAUUGAAGGCUGGAGUGCAGUGGCAUGAUCACAGCUCACUGCAGAUUUGAUCCCCUGGGGUCAGGAGGUCCUGGUACUUCAGCCUCCCGAGUAGCUGAGACAGACGACUACAGGGGAGAAGAGGAGACAUGGAAUGAAGAUUGGUUGACUGCUAAGUAUGUAUCAGACAUUUGGAUAUCUCAUCUCAUUCAACCCUUGUAGCCAUCCUGAGAAGUUUCAUUCACAACAGAGAAGUCUGGAGUGGAGAAACACAUCCCACAGCCAUGCCAAAGAUGGUAGAACUGCAGGGCCUGCUAGACCUCACAGUGCUCUCCUCUUCCUGGACAUACUGCCAGGCCACCUUACCCAGUUCCUUGCAUCUAGGUGGGGCCAUAUGACUACUUCUCAAGCAAGGAGUGUAAGUACAAGGGACAUGUGUGACCUCCACCAAGACGCUGAGAAUGUGUUUGCCUGCUCCACGCUUGCUCCUGUCAGCUGGCCAGCCACAGAGGAUCUAGCAGAGGACUCCAAAGUCCUAGAGAAUGGUGGAACCACUUCACUUAAGGAACCUGGGUCCCUGAAUGGCUUCAUGGAGCAGAGUGUUCCUGCUCAUCUCCUUCAAAUGAGGUGAUAUAAAUGGGAAUUUUCACUGUGUUAAGCCACUGAGAUACAGGGCUUGUUUAUUACAGCAGCAAGUUUGCCCUGCUGACACAAUCAACGUAACUACAGAGCCCAUGCCAUCACAAUUGCACUGUGACCUGAGGCUUCAAGAAGGAGGAGAGAUUUAGGCCAAGUCAUGAAGGCUUGGAGAUAUAAACCUUUACCUAGAGCUUUCCUUUUAUGUGUUGGGAGAACUCGAUCCUGUUUGAAGAAAACAAUCUGCAAUAAAAAUUUGCUUUAAGAUCA